AGGAGGCCAAGGGCAUCCCAUCCUGUGAUUCCACUUACCUGCCAGACCAUUCUUCCCAGGUCCAUCCAGCAUCCCAUUGAUCUGCUGCUACUUCUGCUGCUCGUGCUGCUGUUGCUUCCAGAUCCCUGCCAGCACCAGCAGGAGUGUAGGAGGGAUCUGCCCUGUGGGAACCCAGGAAUCUUGUAAGAUGCCUCCAGCCCUUUCCACAGGCGCCCAAUCCCCCAUUCCUUCCAGGGUGCCCCGGAGCUCAGUUCCCCAGUCCUGUAUAAUCCCUCACUUGAUCACCUUUCCCACGGUCCAGGAAUCUCUCAGUCUUGCCAGGGGCCCACAGCUCUCCCCACAGUUCAUGGGUCCUCCUGCCAUCUGGUGCCGGAAUGCUGAUGUGGGCAAAGGGCAGGGCAUAGCACAGGCCUGAAACAGGAGGGACCUGUGGUUGUCACCUGGGCUGCCAUUAACAGGGGUGAGACAUGAGGCACUGAAUCUCCAAAGACAUUGAGCCCAUGGAGGUGAUGACGCCAAUGUCUGCAUGUUCUCAACAUGUGACUUCUUGUCCUCCACACAGUUAUGGACAUGGGCAUGGACACUCCCAGUUCACCGAAGGAAAUGAGCACCAGGCCAAACAGCAGAUAAAGCCUCGACAAUAUGAAGUUACUUUAGACCAAAUCAAGAUGAAGAUUAGUGUCCUUAAAAAUGAAAACGAGGAUCUUCAAAAAUACAUAGCGAGUUGGGAGGAGAAGGCCCAAGAUGCACUGGCAGAGCUAAAGCUGAGAGCCUCGACAUCAAAAAACCAAGAACUGAAAGGUA
rnacentral:lncRNA from 1 species